AUGUAUAAGUUUCUGGUACAAGAGCUUGAGAAGAAAAAGAAGCUAGACAAAGAUUUCGACAUCAUCUUUGUGGCGCACGGAGAAAUUGAUUCUUUCAUGUUCUCAGCCAACUACCUCAUGCCUCUGCCCUCCAUCAGAGAUGUGGUCCUGUAUUCUCCCUGGAACUGUGCUAUUAAUGCUGAUGUAGCGUACGGUGUUGCUACAGGAAGUAUACAGCCUCAUCACAGGGUCUUCUUCCGUAUUCCACAACAAGGCUGUCCAGUUCCUGAUUAUGUUGAUCCGCCGGACAAACUGCCCAAUGACUGGAACUCAAUGAGUGAAGCUGGAGGAUCGAGGAUCCCGAGGAUCCUUCUCAGCCCUCUGAAGGAUCCAAACCAGAAACCAGAGGUACCAGGGGAGAAACCAGGGGAUCCUGCAUGGAAUCAUGUUGUGUUUCUCCAAGAUAGACUUGGUGAACCUGGGAGAAAUCGUGUCCUCAUCCCGUUCACUCAUCAACCAUGGACUGAUUUCGCUAAAAAAAUUCAAUUCUUUGACAAAACGGGUUCCUUUGACAAAAUCCCAUUCUGGAUCGUCACUUUGGUUCUGUCAGUGGUGCUGGAAGUCUGCGGCUAUAGGGCCACCGUCCAUCUCGCUGCCUGUCUGGAUAGAUCUGAAGAAGAAUUCCUGAAUGAGGCUGAGCUGCAGUAUGGAUACACUAUCGACAACACAAUGAUGGGAUCGUCAGAGGAAAGGAUCCAAUCAGAGAAUAGAAAACCCAAAGUGCACGACGCCAUGUACAAAUUCUUUAAAGAUAUGUUUGGUUAGAGAUCUUCUGUGUUUGUGUCGUUUCAGUGUCCAAACUGAGCAAAACACAGUGUUGUGGGUGGAGUGAUGAAGAGUUAAUCAAUCAAUCAAUCAGUCUUUAUUUGUAAGGUGCCAGUUCACAACAGUAAUCUUGUGACACCUAUGUGUCAGUUUUAGCCUGCUAGCUAUUUUUAACAGUUCUUGUCCUUGUGAUUGAAAUUACUAUGAAAUAUUAAUAAUUAUAUGACUACAUUUAAAAGUUCAUAACAACUGAUAAAACAUGUUAUUCUUCAUUUAUCUGACUUAUUAUUACGUAGUGUUGUGUCGGAGUCUGUUUCCUGUGGCUUUGUCUGGUGUGUUGAUCAGAGAUGUGGUUUAAAGUUUCAGUCGGUAGAUUUUCCUCUUACAGAUCUUAUGGGGGCGUUCAGACCAAUCAUGAGGUGAAUCAUUCGUCAAAGAAAAGAUGCAAAUUCAUAAACAACAUUGGAGGCGAGGAUAAUAGUGGCUGUUUUCAGACACCCAGAGCUGUACAAUAAAACAUCUAAUCGUACUGAGACAGGACAAAAAAGGAGCUGGUGUGGAGGGAAAGUAAGCGAGGAAGUGAGACGACCUGGUAAGUCAUGGAUAUUUGUCUCAGCACAGCGUCGCUCUGAUCGAUCUGAACUCUUUUUUGGUUUUGGUUAAUUGUUUAAAUUGGUGUUUUUUGUGUGAUGACGUAAGAUAACUAUAUCAACCAGUCUUUUAUAUCUUAAUACUUUAAUAUCAGCUGUAAUAUCUUGUAUCAGAUUGCAGGUCUGUAUUUCUGACCUACAGAACGAUUGUGGAACAUUUGGUGUCACUGAGACGUUGUUUGUCUGUUGAUGGACGGCGUUGUUCUCGUGUCCAGUCUGGAUUACAUCACCACCUCGCUGAGUCCAUCAGACUGGCUCACUACAGACUUUUCUUUACUACUUUAAACAGUCAGAAUCACACUGUGGCCUGAUGGAGUCACUGUUCAUUGUUCAGCUUGAUUUGGUGUUCAUUCAGUUGGUGGCAGAGUCAUCCCUCACCAACCACACCUCCUGUCGUACUGAAGUCCUCCUGUUGAGUCUGGACUUUAAGUGUUAAAGGAAGUGUAACCUGAGGGCAGGUGGAACACAACGACCUGCAUGUGUUCUGACUGCACUGCUGCACUGUUGCACAGCAGGAUGUGAGGAACCUGCAGCACUUGUUGUUUAACAUGUGUCGCUCAAACUAUGUACGAGCUGUUUAACACCUUCCUGACAGUCUGCUGACACCUGAAUCUAUGCACCCAUUUUAUUUAAACUUCAUUGUUUGUACUUGUUCUACUUUCUAUCUAUAGUUUUAUCAAAAUGAAUUGUGGCCUUUAAGAUGAUGUGAAGGUUUAAGAGAGAGACUGAGAGGAAGAUCCAGGCUCUGUCUCUGGUCUUGGUCUUCUGUCUGAGCUGUUUCACCCUUUGACCUUGUUGGCUGUUGAUUUUAUACUCCUGUACUUAUACUUAUACCUUUAUACUUUUAUUUUCUGAUCUUCAAACCCCCAAAAACUGUAAAACCUGAAUAAAACUGGGUUGUAUGUUGUACAUCCCAACCAAAGUCUUUUUGUUGGCUCCUCUCUCUGACGUCAUGUGACCAGUUUAUUGUAUUAUUAAUUACAUUAAGAUAUUAAAAACAAGUCGGAGGACAUCAAGAAACAAAACAUUAAAGCAAGUUCAACAUAUAAAAAUAAGCUAUGAUAAAAAAAAGAAUAAUAAUAAGAGACAAGACAAUAAAAAAGUGCAGUUCUGAAUGCAGCUUUGACUCCCUGUGAUUGGCCGACAGUAGAGU
ensembl:lncRNA